AGGUUAAGCUGUGUGCCCAUAGAAGUCUGCAUGAUCGUCCACCAAACUAUACUUUCUGUCAUGACCGACUGAUGAGCAAACUGAUGUGGCCUUCUGAAAGUGAGCCACUGCUGAAGCUGUCCCCCUUCAUGAAAGGAGUCCUCAAAAGAGGGGAAACAUGAGUCUUCUGGGAGAUUAAUGGAAAGUAGUUACUUGAAAUUAGCAAGAAUUUAUGGGCAUACUGUUAACCACUGCAUAGCAGCCCUUUCAGGGUCUUACUUCAAUAAGCGAACAAGCCCCAAACUAUUUUUAAACUGGCGAGAUUUUAAAACCGAGGAAACACAGCAUCUAUUAUCAACAGGGCAUCAAUUACUUUCCAUGGAGGAUAUAAUAUAGUUACCCCUAGAGAUGGGGCUUGGUUGGAAAGGUUUCUUAUAUAUAAGGGAGCCAUGAUCAAAGAAACUAUUUCAAAAGGUUGUUGCGAGCAAUAAAUCAGGUAAAAACCCUAAAGUACUCAGAAAGCGAGUGGCAUAUUGUAAGCUAUCAAUAAGUGUUUCCUAUUAAUUACAUGAAAACCACCUUAAGAUAGAUAUAAAUACGAUUUAAUUAAGAAAUAAAUAUGGUCUUUUUAGUGAUCAGUUGGUUUUUCAGCUCAUUGUUUUCAAAUUAAUGGCAAUUUAAAAAAUAAAUCUCAAUUAUAUGCUAUAUCUAAGGAACAAAUAGAACAAACUAAUCAAAAACAGACUCACAGGUAUAGUGGACAAUUUGG